GACGUGCGGCCCUCCUGUGCCAUCAGUCACGCGUGCUACAUUCCGACAGAAGAGGGCCUCCCAGCUUCACCUUCAGCGAGGCGGGUCCUGAGGUGUGGGGGUAGGAGCGCCAACGUGUUCUGAUCGAGUAAAGCGGGUCUGGCUGAUGAGAUACGUAAAGAAAAGAAGAAACUCUGAGGCUGCUCUUGAGUUCAGAUUCAGCUGUACAGCCUAGCUGAAGCCCAGCACGAGAUAGAAGCAGUGUGAGGACAUGCCAUGCAUUAGCCUUCCCCCAGCAAUGUGAGGAGACACCUUGCAAUACUUUGCAACAGGGUAUUGUGGAACCUACACGAGUUCAUCCUGGCAGUGACAGAAUCACCACAGAGUUGAGAAUGUUGUGACACUGACUUGAAUGCAAUUCAGCAGUGCCUUUUGUGGGGUUUAGAUCCAGAACUCCUGGGACAUUUCAAGAUCUCUGCUGCUGCCACCACAGUAUUGGUAUCAAUAUUAGCUUACUGUCCUCUUUGUAAAGGUUACCAGCGGAGCUCUGACACACAUACUGUGCCAGAGCUCUACAGAGCUAACAAAGAGUCCUCAGAAAAAUGUUAGCUGCUAGCAUUCCUGGAGUUUAUGCCUAGGUUUGGCACAGUAAGACAGCAGUGGUAUCAGUAAGUGUAGCAAACCGCUGGAAUUCAAUAUUGUUAGUCUGAGUGUUUGGGAUUCAUGGUUUACAUAUAGAUUCACUUCGAUCAUUGCCUGUUAAAUGAAUGUAGUGAUCUGUGUUUGCCUUCUUUGGGUGAAGGAGGUAAGACUUUAUUCAAUACUAAACACUUUAAAGGAUAUAGCUGUAUUUUAAUAGAAGGGGAGAAAUAAGAGAAGAUACAAGACAUGACCUUGCACAGGAAUGAAGUGAGAGAGAGAGAGAAUAAAGGGUUCAACUAACAAAGUCUGGGAGAAGCUGCACAAGCUUGUGGUCUCAGUUACAUCAUUUCAUGUGUCUCACACUAGCUACUAGUAAUUGGAUGUGAGCAAGAAAUCUUUAUGCUUCUUAGUUUAUUUUAAAUUCAUACUUGCUUUCUUAGGCAUGCAGAGAGAGGUUGUGUUGAGUCAUGUACCUGUUUCUUAUCAGUGGAAUUACAUGCAGCAUUGCAGUGAUGCUUUAUAGUUCAGGGCUUUUCCAGUGCAUGCCAUGUUCCCAUUGUACUUCAUACCAGUUUGUCAAAAAAUGGAUCUUCAUGGAUGUGGAGUAAUUUUAAAUUUGUAUAUAGUCAACCCAUUCAGCAUACUAUAAAAACUGAAUGUAUUUUUAGAAGGACUCAUUGCAGCUUAUGGCAGGAUUAAAACUGGAUUUCAGGAUGAAUCUCUGGAAAACAAACAAACAAACAAAACUUUCCACUUGAUUACAAAGCAAAAUCUCCCUGAUGUGAAAGUCAUAAAAGCAACCUGCUGUGAGUCAGCAGUUAAAGGAUAUAAAAGAUACCAUGUAGCAAAGCAGAUGUAAUGCAAGGGAAAAAACAAACCAAUUGCCAAUUUGUUCUGUGCUCAGGUCUCAUGUGAGGGAAUUACAAAGCAACUGGGACGCUGCUCUGCACAGCUUAUACAGUUGGCAGAAUAUCUAUCCUGUGGCAUAGGCAUUUCUUCAGCUACUUCAUUGAGCUAUGACAAGGGAGACCUUUGUGCAGCCCUCUGGACGUUUUGCUUCAAAUCGAAGUUGCUCCCUUCUGAAGCAGAACUAUGUUUCUACAGCAAAGCAAGUCUCUCCAGGCACAUAACUUUCUGCUGAAAUUCCAGCUACUGAUUCAUGCCCCCCACUUCGCUCUUUUCUGUCUGAACAUCAAACUGUAUUUCUACAACUUCGUUGUUAGAAAGAAAAAAGGCCUUCCUGAGCAAGAUUCCCACGUUCACUCAGAAUUCCUCAUGCUAGUAAUAUCAAACUAGGAAAUCCCCUUUUAAAUUCUUAACCUGUCUGGGGCCUUAAAUAAUUAAAGAUGGCUUAAUUCA